rnacentral:rRNA from 1 species
UACGUAGGGGGCAAGCGUUGUCCGGAAUUAUUGGGCGUAAAGCGCGUGUAGGCGGCCUUGCAAGUCGGAUGUGAAAGCCCACGGCUCAACCGUGGAAGUGCAUCCGAAACUGCAUAGCUUGAGUCUCGGAGAGGAAGGUGGAAUGCUUGGUGUAGAGGUGAAAUUCGUAGAUAUCAAGCAGAACACCUGCGGCGAAGGCGGCCUUCUGGACGAUGACUGACGCUGAGACGCGAAAGCGUGGGGAGCAAACAGG